UUUUUUUUUUUUUUUUUUUUUUGAUGUCCGAGUCAAUCCUUACGAGGCCCAACUAAUUUCCUGCAACCCGGGCUCGGCGCUCCAACCCGACCCAUGUGAAUCUCAUAGCAGCCACCUUCAGCGUUGGCACGUCAUAAAGAAACACAGUUAUAUUUCACAAUUUAUUCACCAAAUCAAGAUCACUUUCCGAAGACCAUGAUCGUUAAAAUAAAGAAACCCUCAGCGUCGGUUAAUUGGACAAUUAUAACAUCCACGUUUGCCGGUCAUAGAAGGACUUUGCGAUUGCAGUUGUGCUACCAAACUACACAUUGAGCUUUGCACAAAAAAUAAAAUGAAAAAUUCGACUUCUUCUUUAUCUGAUCCUUUUUGUGAAAUUCUUGACGGUUUUUUCAUGCUCACCAUUCGUCCACAACGAAAUUUUUAUAGAAAGAAAAGAAGACUAGAGUGAGCCAACUUGCAUAUGAACGUUCUUUUCUGUAUUGUGUGUUUUGAAUUUUUAUGUAUCCCUUUAUGAAUAUGUCAUACUUGGGAACAGCUUUAAGUUGAGAUGAAGUGAAUUUAGAUAAUUAGACGUGCAAAUAAUCUAGUACUUCCUAGAGGUAAUUCUCUCAUCUUGGUUGCUCCCUUUAAGUUAAACAUUUCAGCCAACUUUCACAGAAGUUCAAACCACAGGGGGUCGGAAUGUAGGUUUUCGAACCAUAGGGACUUUUCUGUAGAUUAGUUUAACCACUAGGGCCUUUCUCGUAUUCUACCCCCAUCAUUGAGAGUUAGUUUCAGGGAAUCAAAGAGGAGAUGAAGUAUCAUGCAGUUCAUGAAUUAAAUUCUAAAUCAUCCAAAACUGCAGGACUAAUGUUAUCUCAAUGCAAUGUACAGCAUAAAGGAAGGUUGUGUGGAUCCUAUUAAACAUGGAAGCAGAACAAGAUUUGCUGGCGCAGCACAAGCGCAGAGCUCCUUGAAGAAUUUUAACAAAAAAAACAAGGCUCUCAGAAUCUUCUUUGCUUUUUUCGCACUACCUUCUAUCCUAUCUUAAUUAAAGAGAAUCUGAAGCUUAGCAGGCAACCA
rnacentral:lncRNA from 1 species